CCAGGAACAGAGCAUUUUUGUCCCUCCUGGAGAGAGUCAUGUUGGGAGUACCAAAUCCAGAUAUUCAAUUGAUUCCUUUCUAAAGGAAUUUUCUGCAGGCUGCAAUACCUGUCGCAUGCUCGAUACACGUAUAGAGGCUCUGGACAUCUAUUGUUACUCAGAGAGGGGAGGCGGCUUGCAGGACUGAAUGGUUCGCACCUUGAUGACGUUAGCGCACCGUCCCCGGCCGGAUCUCGCCGCAGCACGGGUGUCUUUCUGGUACUUGGAGUCUGUUUAGAUCACUCCAGAGUCAACCUUGUAACAGCCUUGGUUGGAAUGUCGGAAUAAGGCCUUAAUGCAGAGAGCAAUGUGGAAUUAAAGAGAAAAGUGGAUGAGAAAACAGGAUUAGGAGGAGUAAUAACAUAUUAAUCAAUAUGCCAAUUAGCCCCAAAGUUUACUGCGUGGCUAAAAAGCUCCAGGCUUCACGCCUUGAGGCUGCAGGAAAAAGUGCACCAUCAUGGCAUGUGGAGGAUACAGGAUUUGGUUGAAUAGGUCUGACACCCCAGUUAGCCCCGGGGUAAAUCUCAUGGCUAAUUGAAUACAAGCCAUUAUGCUUAAAUCCAAAUUAUGACAAAAGACUCCUAACUAUGCAGUGUCACACUAGAGUGUGAGCCAGGUAUAUAAAUGGAUAGUAAGAAUAUGUAAGGGCCCACCUUGUCA